CUGGUUUAGCAUAUAUUAAUGCAAUAGGUUGUAGCCCUUUUUAAAACGAAAGUUAAUCAGGU
rnacentral:tRNA from 1 species